rnacentral:rRNA from 1 species
GACAGAGGAUGCAAGCGUUAUCCGGAAUGAUUGGGCGUAAAGCGUCUGUAGGUGGCUUUUAAGUCCGCCGUCAAAUCCCAGGGCUCAACCCUGGACAGGCGGUGGAAACUACCAAGCUGGAGUACGGUAGGGGCAGAGGGAAUUUCCGGUGGAGCGGUGAAAUGCGUAGAGAGUACGGAAAGAACCACCACGGCGAAAGCACUCUGCUGGGCCGACACUGACACUGAGAGACGAAAGCUAGGGGAGCGAAUGGG